UUAGUAAUAACAAGUGGUAUCAGAGCAUUUAGGUGGCUAACUCACUGUUUUUUGAAUUUGAUAAAUCUCGUUUUGUUUUCUGUUUGUUAAAGAAAUGAAAUCGUGAUUUGUCCAUUGUUUUUUUCCCAAAUCUUGAAAAUCGUGAGUUGUUCUCAGUUUUGUUAAAAGGACUGAGACUUUUUUUCCCCUAAUUCUUAAUCUAGGUUGCUUGUUCUCUGUUUGUGCGAAAACUUGAACUGUUUGAUGUUAAACUGCCAUCGGUUACAAAGUUUUGCUAAAAUAUGUUUUUUGAAACAAGAUUGUUACUUGCGAAACUUUUGUUUGAAAGUGAUAUGUUUCAUAUUUGUUUGAUUAUAGUGGGAUUGAUGUUGUGAUUUAUUCAAUCCUGUAGUUUUGAAAUACAAUCUGAAAGUUGAGUGAUUGUUACUUUGAGGGUUCAGAACUUGAAUACUAUAAUCUUGAUCACAUUGGCCUAAAAGUGAAACUAAAAGUUGUGUUUCUGGUAUAAGUCUGUCUUACAUGUGACAUUCUUGGUUGAAUAGGCUGUUGGUUAGUAUAGUCAUUUAUUGUGCCAUCCAAACUAUACUAAUUCGUGUAUUUAGUGUGCAGUUUAAGAGGUGUAAUAGGUUGGCAACAAAAAAGGACCCUAAAGACAGUCAAAGAACUGUUGCGGAGCUUGGAGUGGAUCGGGUCUCGUAUUCUUCUCAUAUCUCGUGGUUUGGAAAAACGCGUUGUUGGUGAGGGGGUGUUGCUAUCCGACCCUACCCCAGAUAGCUCUCUGAAGGUAAUUGUUUUAUACAAGAAAAGAGCGAUAAAAUACUUUCUUAGAUAGUGAGGUUCAAAGAAGAAGAUCAUAACUAUUGAUGAUGUUUCGAAAGGACUGGUUGAAUGGUUGUGUUCACAGAGGAUAUGCAGUGCUUUUGGUUGUUAUAUAUUGUUUCCUAGGCACUCUUGUUGGUGGACCUUGGCUGUCAUUGAUAUUGAACAUGUUCGUGAAUGCAUCUUCAUUUUCAUUGUGAUAUACUAGGAAUUGUUAAGGUCUAUGUAACUGCUGCCACGGUUCCAGAGACUGUACUUAUUCUGCCAACAAUUGCUGGAGCACUUACCCUCGGUGAGGUAGUCCAUGUCGAACCUAUCGUGUGGACAUACAAAGAUUUGGUUCCCCACACCUGAGUUCUUCCGCCGUACUUUUUUCGUUGUAUGAGCAUCCGCCCUCCACGUUUAUGUGUUGAACUUGGAUUGAUGCCUUAUAUAUUUUAAUAUAAUGGAUUGAACACUAUUGUGUAGAACUAUCACCUCUCUACGGCUUAUUAGAUGAUCAUGUUGCGCAUAAGUAUGUAAUUUUUGCUUGUUUGUCCUUUAUGUAGUCUUGUAUUGUGUAGAAAAAAAGGUUAUUAUAAUGGACAUGUGAUCCA